GGGAGGCCGGGAGGGGUCCCUGGGCGGGGAGUUGCUGCGCAUCUGUUGUGUGUGUGCGUCUGUCUGUCUGUUCAGGUCUGUUUCAGACUACGUCUGCCUGUCUGUCCAGGUCUGUUUUAGGCUGUGUCUGUCUGUCUGUCUGGGUCUGUUUCAGGCUGUGUCUGUCUGUCUGUCCGGGUCUGUUUCAGGCUGUGUCUGGGUCUGUUUCAGGCUGUGUCUGUCUGUCUGUCUGGGUCUGUUUCAGGCUGUUUCUGUCUGUCUGUCCGGAUCUGUUUCAGGCUGUGUCUGGGUCUGUUUCAGGCUGUCUGUCUGUCUGUCUGGGUCUGUUUCAGGCUGUAUGUGUGUCUGCUCUUUGCUUCUGCUCCUGGCUCUGUGUGUAUUUCCCGGGUCCUGUGG
rnacentral:lncRNA from 1 species